rnacentral:rRNA from 1 species
CCGGCACGGGUGAGUAACACGUAUCCAACCUGCCGUCUACUCUUGGACAGCCUUCUGAAAGGAAGAUUAAUACAAGAUGGCAUCAUGAGUCCGCAUGUUCACAUGAUUAAAGGUAUUCCGGUAGACGAUGGGGAUGCGUUCCAUUAGAUAGUAGGCGGGGUAACGGCCCACCUAGUCUUCGAUGGAUAGGGGUUUUGAGAGGAAGGUCCCCCACAUUGGAACUGAGACACGGUCCAA